rnacentral:piRNA from 1 species
ACCUGAGCUUGGAGCCACUGAGUUUGGAGU